AAUUUCUCUAAUUUUGUUUCUUAUUAUCUUUGUUAUCUCAGCCGGUGUAGGUCUUCUAUUAUUCUCUGAAUUAUCACUGAUUCGCAGCCUUUAGAUCAUAUGUAUCUUUCUCUUCCUAUGAAAUGAUGAAUUGUCGAAUAGCAUACAUCCAAUACUUUGACAUUCUUCAUUGUUCUUAAACUGUGUGCUUGAUAUAUAAAUAAUAAUUUGGCUGCUACUUGAAAAUUGAAAUGUACUUAAUAUAUCCUUGUAUUUUGUUCUGUAGACAGAUGUAGUCAAUUGUUAUUUCUCAUUCAGUAAUCUUAAUGUUUUGUUGUCUUAAUGAAUCAAAAUCUUUAUUAAUACUUAAUAAAUAUACCAUGUUUCAGGGAUAUAUCUUCUUACAAUUUUGCGGCAUAGUUCUGACUAGUUGAGCAACUAGAAGUAUAAACAUGAUUUUGCGUGUUUGUAAGUUGUUUUCAGCUUGUCUGUCACAUGUAAUUUCCUAACUUAAAGAGUAACAUGUAAAGUCAAAUCUCUGCUACCACUAGUUGGUAAGUUCCUUGUUCAUUAAAAUUUUACUGGAACAAAAUACUGUAGCCGAACUGCUAUAGGACUUGAUAAACUACUUACAGACACAACAUUAAUCUUGCAGAAUUGCAUGGUGCUUGAGAGAGGAUCUUACCUGCUCUGGAAAGCCAGAAGUAAUGACCAUUCUACUUAAUGUAAAAAUUACUAGACCAGAUGUGAUGUAUCUGCUGUUUUUCUUUGGUUUUCGUGUUAUGCUACAAAUUUUGACCUCAAAAGGCAUGUGAAGCACAGAAAAUUAAUAUCUAAUGCCUGAUAAUAUUUGUAUUUCUGCCAUAAUCAGAUGGAAACAAAAGUGCAUCCCUUCGACUCCUUCAAGGUUGACACUCUACCCCCCAUGACUAGGCUAUUCCAUUGGUACCAAACAGAAGCAUAAUGUUGAUGAUAUUGUCCAAAAGGUAUAUCCUCUUUUGUCUUGGGUAAGGCUUGUUGUUCUACAGUCCGAUAUUUUUUUCACCUAAUCUCUUGUUCUUUCGUUGUUUUAGAAGUUCAUAUUUUAAAGUUUUGACUUUUGAGUGAUGUGAGAAAUGACUAGUACUCUUGCAUAUCUGGUAGGAUAGACAUGUGUUGUUGCUACUGGUAAGACUCAAAACCUUUCUGAAAUGGAAUUCAUGUCAAGUUCCUUUAUCAUGGUUUUAAACCGAUUUGAUGACAGCAAAGGCAAUUAUAGGAUCCAUUAUUCAGACAAAUCCAACAGUCAUUCUUCUAACUUGAUAUACAUUCAGGACAGCUAACAAAGGUCCCAGUUUUGGCUUUCCAAGUUCAUUCUUAUGCGGUGCAAUUGUUCUGAUUGUGGUGUUAAAUCUCCAUUUGUUUGAUUUUAUGUCCACUUUUAGGUAAACUCUUAUUUGAAGGAUAAUGGAAUUGAAGUUCGUGAAUAUACUAAAGUGGGCUCAGAUGUGUUUUGCUUGCAGCUGAUCACCUUUGCCCGUCUGCAGUCAAAGGAACUGAUGCUGAAAAGACCAACUCUAGUGAGGCUUUUACAGAAAAUGGUGCAGUUAAAUCAGAAGGAAAUAAAGUUGAUCUCAUAUGGGUUGAUCCUGGUUCUUGCUGCUGUGCUUUGUAUUCAAAGUUGAAUUCUGAAAAAGUGCUUCUGAAGCAGUCUCCCGACUCUCCUCUAGCUCUUACAAAAGCUCUAAAGUUGAGUUGGAGGGCUUGAAAAAUGCACAUGUUUGUGAUGGUGCUGCUGUUGUGCAAUAUCUUGUCUGGCUGGAUAUGCAUGUACAAUGUGAGGUUCAGGUUCUCUAAACUCUGAUAUCAUCAAUAACCUCUAUCUUUUAGCUUCUCUGUUAACUUUCAAUCUUAUAGUUUGCAACAAAAUCUACUGCUUUACAACUCGUUGGCUAUAAAUAAAGCUUUACCAUCCAUUGACUAUUUACAAAUCCCUGACUUUGCAGGCAGUCCUUAAUCACAUAAUUGAACAUCAUGGAAGCC